rnacentral:rRNA from 1 species
UGGGGAAUUUUGCACAAUGGGGGAAACCCUGAUGCAGCGACGCCGCGUGAUUUAGAAGGCCUUCGGGUUGUAAAAAUCUUUUGUAUAGGAAGAAAAUGACAGUACUAUACGAAUAAGGACCGGCUAAUUACGUGCCAGCAGCCGCGGUAAUACGUAAGGUCCGAGCGUUGUCCGGAAUCAUUGGGCGUAAAGGGUACGUAGGCGGGUAAGCAAGUUAGAAGUGAAAUCCUAUAGCUCAACUAUAGUAAGCUUUUAAAACUGCUCAUCUUGAGGUAUGGAAGGGAAAGUGGAAUUCCUAGUGUAGCGGUGAAAUGCGCAGAUAUUAGGAGGAAUACCGGUGGCGAAGGCGGGUCUCUGGGCCGUUACUGACGCUGAGGAGCGAAAGCGUGGGGAGCGAACAGG